UAGGGAAUCUUCNGCNAUGGACGGAAGUCUGACCGAGCAACGCCGCGUGAGUGAAGAAGGUUUUCGGAUCGUAAAGCUCUGUUGUAAGANAAGAACGAGUGUGAGAGUGGAAAGUUCACACUGUGACGGUAUCUUACCAGAAAGGGACGGCUAACUACGUGCCANCAGCCGCGGUAAUACNUAGGUCCCGAGCGUUAUCCGGAUUUAUUGGGCGUAAAGCGAGCGCAGGCGGUUAGAUAAGUCUGAAGUUAAAGGCUGUGGCUUAACCAUAGUACGCUUUGGAAACUGUUUAACUUGAGUGCAAGAGGGGAGAGUGGAAUUCCAUGUGUAGCGGUGAAAUGCGUAGAUAUAUGGAGGAACACCGGUGGCGAAAGCGGCUCUCUGGCUUGUAACUGACGCUGAGGCUCGAAAGCAUGGGUAGCGAACAGGAUUAGAUACCCUGGUAGUCCAUGCCGUANACGAUGAGUGCUAGGGUGUUGGAGGGUUUCCGCCCUUCAGUGCCGGAGCUAACGCAUUAAGCACUCCGCCNGNNNAGUACGACCGCNAAGGUUG
rnacentral:rRNA from 1 species